UACGUAGGGGGCGAGCGUUGUCCGGAGUUACUGGGCGUAAAGGGCACGCAGGCGGUGCGGCGCGUUUCGCGUGACAGCGGGUGGCUCAACUACCCGAGGAUGCGAAAGACGGCGGCACUUGAGGGCCAGAGAGGGACACGGAAUUCCGGGUGGAGUGGUGAAAUGCGUAGAGAUCCGGAGGAACACCGAAGGCGAAGGCAGUGUCCUGGCUGGUGACUGACGCUGAGGUGCGAAAGCUAGGGGAGCGAACGGG
rnacentral:rRNA from 1 species